GUGCCAGCCGCCGCGGUAAUACGUAGGUGGCAAGCGUUAUCCGGAAUUAUUGGGCGUAAAGCGCGCGUAGGCGGUUUUUUAAGUCUGAUGUGAAAGCCCACGGCUCAACCGUGGAGGGUCAUUGGAAACUGGAGAACUUGAGUGCAGAAGAGGAAAGUGGAAUUCCAUGUGUAGCGGUGAAAUGCGCAGAGAUAUGGAGGAACACCAGUGGCGAAGGCGACUUUCUGGUCUGUAACUGACGCUGAUGUGCGAAAGCGUGGGGAUCAAA
rnacentral:rRNA from 1 species